GAGGGUGCAGCUCGAGCGGCAGAGCGCAUGCUUAGCAUGCAUGAGGUCCUGGGUUCAAUCCCCAGUGCCUCCU
rnacentral:tRNA from 1 species